rnacentral:rRNA from 1 species
GGACGAACGCUGGCGGCAGGCCUAACACAUGCAAGUCGAGCGGCAGCGGGUCCCNCGAGGGAGUGCCGGCGAGCGGCGGACGGGUGAGGAACACAUCGGAAUCUGCCUGGUUGUGGGGGAUAACGUAGGGAACUUACGCUAAUACCGCAUGCGACCCUGAGUCGACGGACUUGGGGUGAAAGUGAGGGACCUUCGGGCCUCACGCGACCAGAUGAGCCG